GAUCUAACUUUGCUUCCAUAUGACAACCUAGUUAUUCCUUUAUUUACUGAGUAAGCUCUCUUUUCUUUUUUUUUUUUAAAGAUUUUAUUUAUUUAUUCAUGAUAGUCACAGAGAGAGAGAGAGAGAGAGAUACAGAGACACAGGCAGAGGGAGAAGCAGGCUCCAUGCAGGGAGCCCGACGUGGGACUCGAUCCCAGGUCUCCAGGAUCGCACCCUGGGCCAAAGGCAGGCGCCAAACCGCUGCACCACCCAGGGAUCCCAAGCUCUCUUUUCCACACGGAUUGGAGGCUAAACACUUCUACAUUGGCCAUGACUUUCAGAACAAGAACCUUGAAAAUGAAUUUCAAAUCAUAUCUGUAAGAUGAGAUUCUUCGUCAGAUUCCAAAGAGUAAGUUCGCACUUAUGGACAUUAUUCACUUAAUGUAUAGAACACAACACUGGAAAUGUACACUAAGUG
rnacentral:lncRNA from 12 species